AGCGAACAACCAAGCACCACCAUGGAUAGGGAGAAGGACAGCGGACAGCCAAGCACCACCAUAGAUGCACAAUGUAAAGAAAACUAUGACUGCUUGUAGUUAGUAAGCUUUAGCUAUUGUUACAUACGGUAACUUCAAUGGUAAAGGCAUAUGUGUUUUAUCCUUCAUGCUAGUUGGCUUCUUGAACUGCAUGAACACCCAGCUGAUGGUUUCCCUGCCUUCCCCGACGGCGCGCUCCACCCGGGUCUAAACACCGACGGGCAACGCAUCGCGAGCAGGUGCAUGAAAUCCCUUUCUCCGCCCUGUUCUUUGCCGGCGGCGGGCUGCAACUUUGCAGCAGCGCAGGAGUCAGGCGCCCGGCAAGCUGACAGGCAGGUGCUCAGGCUCCCCCGCCGCGCGCGAUAAGAAGCAGGGCGCGCAAGGGGACAACGUCCAUGUAGCGGCCGGUGACGAGCGCUGGAGCGCAUCCAGCAGCGAGCUGUCGUUGGCGGCUGCGGCUCGUCAUCCUCCUACUACGACCUUCUUCUAUGUUUGGGUUUUCAUUUUUCAGUUGUUUUCUAAACAAUAAUCAGAUUCAAGUUCGACAUGUACCAG
rnacentral:lncRNA from 1 species